AUGCUCACAGGGAGCUUGACAGAGCUGAACAACUGGGCACACUUAAUCCUUGGAUGCAUUUGUUCUCUCAGAUGUUGGCCCCACAAAUUCAGAGGCAUGUGUGCAUGCAUGCAUGCACGUGUGUUAGUCACUUUCACUCCACCCCACCAGGAUCUAGAAGAAACCAAAGGCACCAAAGCAAAGCUGCUGGGAACCCUUAGCUUGCCUCAGUGGAACACCCUGUGGGAAGCCAAACUACAGUCUCAUGAAGAUCAGAAGCAACUGACCCCAGAGGGGUCUGACAGCAGAGAGGAGAGAAGAGAACAGAUCUUCCCAGCAAGGGAAGAAUCUCAUAAGCAUGGUGGGGAGAAGCAAGUUGAACUAGCCCAGGGGACCAGAAAAGAGAAGAGUCCUACAGAGGCCCAUGUACUUCCUCACCCUGAACAGGUGGUAAACAGCACCUGUCAGGAAACUGGGCAUGCCGGAACCAUUGCAUCCAGACCAGUCGAGAGGUAA
rnacentral:lncRNA from 1 species